rnacentral:rRNA from 1 species
AUACGAACCGGACAAACGUUAUUCGGAAUUAUUGGGCUUAAAGGGUGCGUAGGCGGCGCGGUAAGUGAGGUGUGAAAGCCCACGGCUCAACCGUGGAAUUGCGCUUCAUACUGCCGUGCUAGAGGGAGACAGAGGUAAGCGGAACUGAUGGUGGAGCGGUGAAAUGCGUUGAUAUUAUCAGGAACACCGGUGGCGAAGGCGGCUUACUGGGUCUCUUCUGACGCUGAGGCACGAAAGCUAGGGUAGCGAACGGGAUUAGAAUCCCCGGUAGUCC